UUAAGCUACAAAGAGCGUAGGGUGAAUAGCUAGGCACCAAGAGCCGAAGAAGGACGUGAUAAGCUGCGAAAAGCUUUGGGUAGGAGCAAAUAUCCAUUAAUCCAGAGAUAUCCGAAUGAGGGAACUCACUUAGAGCAAACAAUCUAAGUAUCCAUAUAUGAGUAAAGUAGUAUAUGAGAAGGGAACGUGGGGAACUGAAACAUCUUAGUACCCACAGGAAAAGAAAGAGAAAUCGAUUCCUAGAGUAGUGGCGAGCGAAAUAGGAAGAGCCUAAACCAUGAGUAGUAAUACACAUGGGGUUCGGACCACGAUAUAUUAUCAAUAAUUCUAAUAGAAAUGUUUUGGAAAAGCAUACCAUAGACGGUGAAAGUCCAGUAUAUGAAAGAAAAGUUGAGAUUAGUGGUAUCCAGAGUAGUACGAGACACGAGAAAUCUCGUAUGAAUAAGCGGGGACCAUCCCGUAAGGCUAAAUACUACUUGGUGACCGAUAGUGAACUAGUACCGUGAGGGAAAGGUGAAAAGAACCCCGGGAGGGGAGUGAAAUAGAACAUGAAACCCUAUGUUUACAAGCAGACAAAGCACUUUAUAUGUGCGAUGUCGUACUUUUUGUAGAACGGUCCAGCGAGUUAUUGUGUAUGGCGAGGUUAAGUAUUACGUAAGGUACGGAGCCGAAGCGAAAGCGAGUCUGAAAAGGGCGAUAUAAGUCAUGCAUAAUAGACCCGAAACUGAGUGACCUAUCCAUGAGCAGGAUGAAGCUAGAGUAAAAUCUAGUGGAGGUCCGAACUGAUUGUCGUUAAAAAGGCACCGGAUGACUUGUGGAUAGCGGAGAAAUUCCAAUCGAACUCGGAGAUAGCUGGUUCUCCUCGAAAUAGCUUUAGGGCUAGCCUUGAGGGAAUGCAUAUGGGGGUAGAGCACUGAAUGAGGUAGGGGCCUAACCAGGUUACCAAACUCUAUCAAACUCCGAAUACCAUAUGUAAAUACUCAGGAGUCAGACUGCGGGAGCUAAGUUCCGUGGUCAAAAGGAAAACAGUCCAGAUCGUCAAUUAAGGUCCCAAAGAUAUAGCUAAGUGGAAAACGAUGUGAUUUUGCAUAAACAACCAGGAUGUUGGCUCAGAAGCAGCCAUUCAUUCAAAGAGUGCGUAAUAGCUCACUGGUCGAGUGAAGUUGCGCGGAAAAUUACCGGGGCUAAGCUAUACACCGAAAUUGCGGAUUUACAUUUGAAAGAUAAUGUGAGUGGUAGAGGAGCAUUCUGUAGUAGGAAGAAGCAUGACCGUAAGGACAUGUGGACGAAGCAGAAGAGAGAAUGCUGGAAUAAGUAGCGAGAGGAUGGUGAGAAUCCAUCCCGUCGAAAAUCUAAGGUUUCCCAGGGAAGGUUCGUCCGCCUGGGGUAAGUCGGGACCUAAGGAGAGGCCGAAAGGCGUAUCUGAUGGAUAGCAGGUUGAAAUUCCUGCACUACGAAUAUACUUAAAAGAUUCAAGGGACGCAGAAGUGGAAGAUAACCAAGUAAGAGGAAAAGCUUGGCUCGCAAGAGGGAGUGAAAAUUAAAAGUAACGAAGUAUCAAGAAGCACGCUGACGAGAAAAGCUUGAAGAUAUUGUAUAUAAGUACCCGUACCGCAAACCGACACAGGUAGAUGAGGAGAGGAUCCUAAGACGAGCGGGAGAAGCAUUGUUAAGGAACUCGGCAAAUUAACCCCGUAACUUCGGAAUAAGGGGUGCUGAUGUAACAGUCAGUCGCAGAGAAAAGGCCCAAGCAACUGUUUAACAAAAACAUAGGUUUCUGCUAAAUCGAAAGAUGAAGUAUAGGGGCUGACGCCUGCCCGGUGCUGGAAGGUUAAGGGAAAGAGUUAGGGUUAAACCGAAGCUUAGAACUGAAGCCCCAGUGAACGGCGGCCGUAACUAUAACGGUCCUAAGGUAGCGAAAUUCCUUGUCAGGUAAGUUCUGACGCGCACGAAAGGCGUAAUGAUUUGGGCACUGUC
rnacentral:rRNA from 1 species